GGCGGGGCGGCGAGUAUAUAAUGCAAGUCGAACGAACUCUGGUAUUGAUUGGUGCUUGCAUCAUGAUUUACAUUUGAGUGAGUGGCGAACUGGUGAGUAACACGUGGGAAACCUGCCCAGAAGCGGGGGAUAACACCUGGAAACAGAUGCUAAUACCGCAUAACAACUUGGACCGCAUGGUCCGAGUUUGAAAGAUGGCUUCGGCUAUCACUUUUGGAUGGUCCCGCGGCGUAUUAGCUAGAUGGUGGGGUAACGGCUCACCAUGGCAAUGAUACGUAGCCGACCUGAGAGGG
rnacentral:rRNA from 1 species